rnacentral:rRNA from 1 species
AACGCGAAGAACCUUACCUGGGCUCGAACGGCUCACGAAAAGCGGUGGAAACACUGUUUUCCCGCAAGGGACGGGAGUCGAGGUGCUGCAUGGCUGUCGUCAGCUCGUGUCGUGAGAUGUUGGGUUAAGUCCCGCAACGAGCGCAACCCUUGUCCUGUGUUGCCACUCCCGUUAAACGGAAGCACUCGCAGGAGACCGCCAGCGAUAAGCUGGAGGAAGGUGGGGAUGAUGUCAAGUCAUCAUGGCCUUUAUGUCCAGGGCUACACACGUGCUACAAUGGGCGGUACAAAGCGCUGCAAACCCGCGAGGGGGAGCUAAUCGCAAAAAACCGUUCUCAGUUCGGAUCGCAGGCUGCAACUCGCCUGCGUGAAGCUGGAAUCGCUAGUAAUGCCGUAUCAGAACGAUGGCGUGAAUACGUUCCCGGGCCUUGUACACACCGGUAUCUC